CUGAUUGAGUUUGAUCAUGGCUCAGGAUGAACGCUGGCGGCGUGGAUAAGGCAUGCAAGUCGAGAGGGUUUAGACCCUCGGCAGACGAGGUAGUAACACGGUAGGUACGCACCCCAAAGUCGGGCAUAACUAGUCGAAAGAUUAGAUAAUUCUCGAUAGUCUCUUCGGAGUAAAGAUUUAUCGCUUUGGGAGCGGCCUGCGGAGUAUCAGCUAGUUGGUAGUGUAAUGGACUACCAAGGCUAUGACGCUUAGGGGAGGUGAGAGCCUGACCCCCACCGAUGGAACUGAGACACGGUCCAUACACCUACGGGUGGCCGCAGCCGAGAAUAUUCGACAAUGGACGAAAGUCUGAUCGAGCGACGCCGCGUGACUGAUGAAGUCCUUCGGGACGUAAAGGUCUUUUGGCAGGGAGAAAGUUAUUGAUGGUACCUGCAGAAUAAGGAGUUGCUAAACUCGUGCCAGCCGCCGCGGUAAUWCAAUCGG
rnacentral:rRNA from 1 species